CCUACGGGAGGCAGCAGUGGGGAAUAUUGCACAAUGGGGGAAACCCUGAUGCAGCAACGCCGCGUGGAGGACGAAGGUUUUCGAAUUGUAAACUCCUGUCAUUUGGGAAGAUAAUGACGGUACCAAAUGAGGAAGCCACGGCUAACUACGUGCCAGCAGCCGCGGUAACACGUAGGUGGCAAGCGUUGUCCGGAAUUACUGGGCGUAAAGGGCGUGUAGGCGGCCAUUCAAGUCAGCUGUGAAAUUCCAAGGCUUAACCUUGGGCUUGCAGUUGAAACUGAGUGGCUCGAGUGUCGGAGAGGAAAGCGGAAUUCCUAGUGUAGCGGUGAAAUGCGUAGAUAUUAGGAGGAACACCAGUGGCGAAGGCGGCUUUCUGGACGAUAACUGACGCUGAGGCGCGAAAGCGUGGGGAGCAAACAGGAUUAGAUACCCCGGUAGUC
rnacentral:rRNA from 2 species